GGAGGGGUGGCCGAGUGGUUAAAGGCAGCAGACUGUAAAUCUGCCCGCUUAUGCGUACACAGGUUCGAAUCCUGUCCCCUCCACCA
rnacentral:tRNA from 3 species